CCACCCGCCGGUGUGCGGCGCCGGCCGCUGCCCGCCUCGGCGACGGUGGCGGCUCCGGUAGGCCCCACCCAGACUCCAGAGCCACCUUGAGACGCAUGCGCUGCGCACUCCCAACCACGCGCACCACGGCUCUGAGAGUUCACCUGUGAUUGGAUGCCUGCCGGAGGGCUCAAAGUAACGGGGCCAGUGAUUGGAGGAGAGCCGGGUCGGCCGUUGUCUCGGCAACCAGGUGCACGCGUUCCCUCAGCCGCCGGUACCGCCGAGGGCCGCAGGGAGCCGGCGGGCAGCGGGGUGCGGACGGGGGGCACCCCCGUGCCUCGCGUCCUGUCACCGAGCGGCUCCUCCCGCCCCUGUCCGCCGAUCGCUCCUCAGCGCUUCAGCUGAGAGGGUGGCCCCGUGGAGCGAACGGAUGAGGUGCCCGAGUCGGUAAACGGGGACAGCCCGCAGAAGCGAUUUAACGGCACUGAGCGCCCCUUAAAGCCCCCUCACGAGCAGUGCUGCUGCACAGUGCUUGUAUUCCCUCUGCUUCUUAAAUAAAACCGAAGUUAAAUGCAGAAGUGGCUGCUGUUUUCUUGGCUUGAACACUGCACUAACGUUAGAUUUGCCUUUAACUUACAUAUGCCAUUUAAACCGAAAGCUGGGGUUGUAGUUACAUGUUUCCUCUAUCUCCAGAUUUUAGGUUUCAAGACGUCUUCCAGUCUUUAUAAACACCACAGGAAAGUAAUCCCAAACUGGGGGGGAACAAAAAGGAUUUCACUCUCAAGCAAGGAGGUUUCAGUAUAAACUCCUUCAGAAUAAACCUCUGGAUUUCUGCGAGCAAAGCAACACCAUUUCUGGCCAGACAGUGCUUGUGUCCAAACCCACAGGAGGAUUAAAUGGGGAAAAAUUGGAAAACGGCCUUCUCUGUUGAGCCCUGAGCUGGGAAGAAAGAUGCUGCUGGUGAUUUUGGUUCUGAUACUGUGGGGUGCAGAGCACCAUCUCACACAAGUUCAGGUCACCCAGAGCUUCUUAAGGCACAUCUGAUUUAAGCUAGUGUCAGGACACUGCUGAGUCCCCCUUCCAAGAGCUCUGGGUAGGUCCCUUUGAACCUCUGCUGAGAAACCAUCCAGAAACAGUCCCGACAGUUUCGGGUAGCCAUAAGGAAUCACUACAACACCCCACAAUAAACUGCAGAUGCCAGAGGCUUCAGGAGAAGCUGCAUUAGUGCAUAAUGUACCAAGAUCCACAGUCCUGUAGCUGCAGUAGUGUGCUCCUGGCCCAUUGCCUGGCGAGGUUUCAGACCUGGAGUGGGAGGGCACGUAGCCAUGUAGUUAUCUUACAUGUUAGACCAUGUGUGAGUUCUCCCCCUGUAUGUGCUUUAAAAUGGCCAAUAUCUCCCUACAUUCCUAUGAUCAGGACUAAGUUUAGUGUCACCUUAUCAGUGUCCCUCGAAAUAAGCUCUGCCCAGGACAGCACUUUUUAAAUCCAGAAGUGAUUUCCCCACACAGUCCUGUUGUACCGGUUCUUUUUCCUUCUGUUACAUUCACUGACUGAUGCACUCUCCUUCCUCAGUGCCACUGUUGCAGCCCUGUUUGUUAUUUACAUCCUUUCCUUGUUUGUCUUGUAGGUCACUACAGCCAUGCCCUCAUCCAGGUGUCUCCCAAAGGUGUAACAUCUUGCUUCAAGCCAAAGACCUCCCGCCUGACAAAGAUGUAUGGAUUUACUGCGGAGCCUGCAGCCCGUCAGCCACAUAAACCUACCAAGGGAGCAAAGAAAACUCCUUCCAGGUCAGUCCAGCCUGGACAAGAUGCCGCUUUCACGGGGCGUGGGGCAAUGUGUCAGAGACCAGAGUGCUCCCGCAGUGUCCCACUGCAUCCCCUGGCCCAAUGGGGCCGGUUAUUGCCAGGGACAGGCUCAGAGGUGGAAGCGUUACAGUGCACUGCCUCGGAGGGGAGUGUGGGUUGAUAACACCCUGGAGCACUGUAUCAGAGGUACCUUUAUCAGACCAUCUCUCAGACAUUUACAAACAGUAAUUAAACACUGCACCACCCUUAUGA